AGAGUGAACGCUGGCGGUAGGCCUAACACAUGCAAGUCGAACGGCAGCACGGUAAGAGCUUGCUCUUAUGGGUGGCGAGUGGCGGACGGGUGAGGAAUACAUCGGAAUCUACCUUUUGGUGGGGGAUAACGUAGGGAAACUUACGCUAAUACCGCAUACGCCCUUCGGGGGAAAGCCGGGGACCAGCAAUGGCCUGGCGCUGAUAGAUGAGCCGAUGUCGGAUUAGCUAGUUGGUGAGGUAAUGGCUCACCAAGGCGACGAUCCGUAGCUGGUCUGAGAGGAUGAUCAGCCACACUGGAACUGAGACACGGUCCAGACUCCGUACGGGAGGCAGCAGGUGGGGAAUAGUUGGACAAGUGGGCGCAAGCCUAGACUCCAGCCAUAACCGCGUAGGGUGAAGAAGGUCCGUUGGGUUACGUAAACGUCCCGUUUUGU
rnacentral:rRNA from 1 species